rnacentral:rRNA from 1 species
AAAUUGAAGAGUUUGAUCAUGGCUCAGAUUGAACGCUGGCGGCAGGCCUAACACAUGCAAGUCGAGCGGUAGCACAGAGAGCUUGCUCUCGGGUGACGAGCGGCGGACGGGUGAGUAAUGUCUGGGAAACUGCCUGAUGGAGGGGGAUAACUACUGGAAACGGUAGCUAAUACCGCAUAACGUCGCAAGACCAAAGUGGGGGACCUUCGGGCCUCAUGCCAUCAGAUGUGCCCAGAUGGGAUUAGCUAGUAGGUGGGGUAACGGCUCACCUAGGCGACGAUCCCUAGCUGGUCUGAGAGGAUGACCAGCCACACUGGAACUGAGACACGGUCCAGACUCCUACGGGAGGCAGCAGUGGGGAAUAUUGCACAAUGGGCGCAAGCCUGAUGCAGCCAUGCCGCGUGUGUGAAGAAGGCCUUCGGGUUGUAAAGCACUUUCAGCGGGGAGGAAGGCGGUGAGGUUAAUAACCUCAUCGAUUGACGUUACCCGCAGAAGAAG